UUUGCACCGAGUAAACGAAGUAGAUCGACCUGAGCGCCGGCCGCGAACCCGAGGCGUUGGCGGGCUCAGAACCCACGCGCCCAACAAACUUCCCUCCUCUUGGGGUCGCUCGUCCUAGAGGCGCCGGAGACCCCAGACCAGGAGG
rfam:Canis lupus familiaris chromosome 18, whole genome shotgun sequence.